UACAGAGGUCUCAAGCGUUGUUCGGAUUCAUUGGGCGUAAAGGGUUCGUAGGCGGUGUGGCAAGUCGGAAGUGAAAUCUCUGGGCUUAACUCAGAGGCUGCUUCCGAAACUGCCGUGCUAGAGUGCGGGAGAGGCGAGUGGAAUUGCAGGUGUAGCGGUGAAAUGCGUAGAUAUCUGCAGGAACACCCGUGGCGAAGGCGGCUCGCUGGACCGCAACUGACGCUGAGGAACGAAAGCUAGGGGAGCAAACAGG
rnacentral:rRNA from 1 species